rnacentral:rRNA from 1 species
UACGUAGGGGGCUAGCGUUGUCCGGAAUCAUUGGGCGUAAAGCGCGCGUAGGCGGCCCGGUAAGUCCGCUGUAAAAGUCCAGGGCUCAACCCUGGAAAGCCGGUGGAUACUGUCGGGCUCGAGUCCGGAAGAGGCGAGUGGAAUUCCUGGUGUAGCGGUGGAAUGCGCAGAUAUCAGGAGGAACACCAAUGGCGAAGGCAGCUCGCUGGGACGGUACUGACGCUAAGGCGCGAAAGCGUGGGGAGCGAACAGG